rnacentral:rRNA from 1 species
GACGAACGCUGGCGGCGUGCUUAACACAUGCAAGUCGAACGGAAAGGCCCUGCUUUUGUGGGGUGCUCGAGUGGCGAACUGGUGAGUAACACUUGAGUAACCUGCCCUUGACUUUUGGAUAACUUCAUGAAACUUGGUCUAAUACCGGAUAUGAGCUCCUGCUUCUUGGUGGGGGUUGGAAAGUUUCGGCGGUUGGGGAUGGACUCGCGGCUUAUCAGCUUGUUGGUGGGGUAGUGGCUUACCAAGGCUUUGACGGGUAGCCGGCCUGAGAGGGUGACCGGGAACAUUGGGACUGGGAAACGGCCCAGACGCAUAAGGGAGGCAGAAGUAGGGAAUAAUAAAAAAUGGGAGGAGGCGAAAUGCAGCAACGACGAGUGCGGGAUGACGAACAUCGGGUUAUAAAACGCUAUCGCCUGUGACGAAGAGUGAAAGAAGGUAAUGGGUAGAGAAGGAACGGCUAAAUACGUG